CGCGGCCUAUCAGCUUGUUGGUGGGGUAACGGCCUACCAAGGCAACGACGGGUAGCUGGUCUGAGAGGACGAUCAGCCACACUGGAACUGAGACACGGCCCAGACUCCUACGGGAGGCAGCAGUAGGGAAUCUCGCGCAAUGGGCGAAAGCCUGACGCAGCGACGCCGCGUGCGGGAUGAAGGCCUUCGGGUCGUAAACCGCUUUCAGCAGGGACGAAAUUGACGGUACAUGCAGAAGAAGGCCCGGCCAACUACGUGCCAGCAGCCGCGGUGAUACGUAGGGGUCUAGCGUUGUCCGGAAUCAUUGGGCGUAAAGAGCUCGUAGGCGGUUCGGCAAGUCGGAUGUGAAAUCUCCACGCUCAACGUGGAGGGGCCAUUCGAAACUGCCGUGACUCGAGUCCGGUAGGGGAGUUCGGAAUUCCCGGUGUAGCGGUGAAAUGCGCAGAUAUCGGGAGGAACACCAGUGGCGAAGGCGGAACUCUGGGCCGGAACUGACGCUGAGGAGCGAAAGCGUGGGGAGCGAACAGGAUUAGAUACCCUGGUAGUCCACGCCGUAAACGUUGGGCACUAGGUGUGGGACUCUAUCGACGGGUUCCGUGCCGUAGCUAACGCAUUAAGUGCCCCGCCUGGGGAGUAC
rnacentral:rRNA from 1 species